rnacentral:rRNA from 1 species
UACAGAGGUCCCAAGCGUUGUUCGGAUUCAUUGGGCGUAAAGGGUGUGUAGGUGGCGCGCUAAGUCGGGUGUGAAAUUUCGGAGCUUAACUCCGAAACUGCAUUCGAUACUGGCGUGCUUGAGGACUGGAGAGGAGACUGGAAUUCAUGGUGUAGCAGUGAAAUGCGUAGAGAUCAUGAGGAAGACCAGUGGCGAAGGCGGGUCUCUGGACAGUUCCUGCCACUGAGACACGAAGGCCAGGGGAGCAAACGGG